rnacentral:lncRNA from 1 species
GUAAAUGGGAAAAUUAUUUCAUUUUGGAUUCUUCUAAUAACCAGUUCAUUGACCGGAUUAUAUGGUGGGGACGCUAUAUUGAUGUUUGCCUGUUCUGGUCUGGCUCAGAAGAUGAACUUAUUUCCUUCCACAAAUACCUUAACAGCAUUAACCCUAACGUCAAACUAACUAUGGAGUACAGCAAGGAUAACAUUCCUUUUUUGGACCUUGACAUCAGUAAAAAAGACAAAGGUUGUUUGCACACAAAUCUGCUGAAUUGGAGAUUCGCUUCUUGAAUCGGGGCUACAGCACUCAGGUCCUGAAAGAUGCAGGACCUGAGCCCUAGGACCAUGCCUCAGGACUACCUGGCAUGAUGACUCCUUGCUGUCCCCAGUCCACCUGGCCGUGCUGCUGCUCCAGUUUCAACUGUUCUGCCUGCGGCUAUGGAACCCUGACCUGUUCACCGGACGUGCUUGUUGCACCCUCGACAACUACUAUGAUUAUUAUUAUUUGACCAUGCUGGUCAUUUAUGAACAUUUUAACAUCUUUACCAUGUUCUGUUAUAAUAUCCACCCG